UGUGCUUGAGGCUACCUAAAGUAUUUUGAUCAAGAAAUGUGGAAGCUCUGGAUAGAACAGACUCAGAGGAUGCCAACGUUAAGAGGCUAAGGAACCGAGUCUCCUUUACAACACUAGGAAGGUUAAGGCUGCAAUGGGUCCGGAGUAACAAUUAUUUCACUCACCUUACACUUGUGUACAGGAAAUGACAUUAAACAAUCUUGAAUUUUGAAACUCAGCAG